rnacentral:rRNA from 1 species
AUUGAACGCUGGCGGCAUGCCUUACACAUGCAAGUCGAGCGCGAAAGGGGGGCAACCCCCGAGUAGAGCGGCGGACGGGUGAGUAAUACAUCGGAACGUACCCAGUAGUGGGGGACAACCUCGAGAAAUCGAGGCUAAUACCGCAUACGACCCACGGGUGAGAGCGGGGGACCGCAAGGCCUCGCGCUAUUGGAGCGGCCGAUGUCCGAUUAGCUAGUUGGCGGGGUAAGAGCCCACCAAGGCGACGAUCGGUAGCUGGUCUGAGAGGACGACCAGCCACACUGGGACUGAGACACGGCCCAGACUCCUACGGGAGGCAGCAGUGGGGAAUUUUGGACAAUGGGGGCAACCCUGAUCCAGCCAUGCCGCGUGCGGGAAGAAGGCCUUCGGGUUGUAAACCGCUUUCGGCCGGAACGAAAUCGCCCGGGUGAACAUCCCGGGUGGAUGACGGUACCGGAAGAAGAAGCACCGGCUAACUACGUGCCAGCAGCCGCCGCCGUAA